rnacentral:rRNA from 1 species
ACUAACCAGGUUUCCCUAGUAACGGCGAGCGAACCGGAAAGAGCCCAGCUUGAAAAUCGGGGUCCUCCCGGACCCCGAAUUGUAGUCUGGAGACGCAUCCUCUGCAACGCACCGGGCCCAAGUUCCCUGGAAAGGGACGCCUGAGAGGGUAAGAGCCCCGUCGAGUCUGGACCGUGUUGCUCCACGAGGUGUGGUCGUCGAGUCGGGCUGUUUGGGAAUGCAGCCCUAAGUGGGUGGUAAAUUCCAUCCAAGGCUAAAUAUUGGCAAGAGACCGAUAGCGAACAAGUACCGCGAGGGAAAGAUGAAAAGGACUUUGAAAAGAGAGUUAAAGAGUGCUUGAAAUUGCUGGGAGGGAAGCGAAUGGAAGCUACGGGUGUGCCCCGGUUGGAUGCGGAACGGCUCGCGCUGGUCCGCCGCUCAACGCGGGGCACUGGUCAGCGUGGGCUGCCGCGGCGGGACAAGAGCGGGGUGUAGCUCCCCGUCCAUGCCGUUGCGGCGGCCGAGGGACGAAGCGCGCGGGGGGCUCGCCCCCCGUGGGUCCCCCUCCCUCGUGGGGGGGGUUCCAACUGCGCGCUCGGGACGCUGGCGUAUUGGGCUCUCCAUCCGACCCGUCUUGAAACACGGACCAAGGAGUCUAACAUGUAUGCGAGCCGGUGGGCGGCAAACCCAUUGAGGCGCAAGGAAACUGACAGGUGGGACCCCCCCGACCGGGGGAGCACCAUCGACCGACCGUGAUCUUCUGUGAAAGGUUCGAGUGUGAGCAUACCUGUUGGGACCCGAAAGAUGGUGAACUAUGCCUGAGCAGGGCGAAGCCAGAGGAAACUCUGGUGGAGGCUCGUAGCGAUACUGACGUGCAAAUCGUUCGUCAGACUUGGGUAUAGGGGCGAAAGACUAAUCGAACCAUCUAGUAGCUGGUUCCCUCCGAAGUUUCCCUCAGGAUAGCUGGAGCUCGUGGCAAGAGUUUUAUCAGGUAAAGCGAAUGAUUAGAGGCAUCGGGGGUGUAACACCCUCGACCUAUUCUCAAACUUUAAAUAGGUAAGCCGCCGGGGUUGCUUGGUUGAACCCCGGCACUGAAUCAGAGAUCC